rnacentral:rRNA from 1 species
UACGUAGGUGGCAAGCGUUGUCCGGAUUUACUGGGCGUAAAGGGCGCGCAGGCGGCUACGCACGUCCGUUGUGAAAUCGCUCGGCUCAACUGGGCGGGGUCGGCGGAUACGGCGUAGCUGGAGCAAGCUAGGGGGCAAUGGAAUUCCCGGUGUAGUGGUGGAAUGCGUAGAUAUCGGGAGGAACACCAGUGGCGAAGGCGGUUGCCUGGAGCUUUGCUGACGCUGAGGCGCGAAAGCGUGGGGAGCGAUCCGG